GUCAGGAUAGCUCAGUUGGUAGAGCASAGGAC
rnacentral:tRNA from 1 species